CGGGAGGUUGGGAGCGCGCCCGCCGUCUGCCCGGGAGGCCGGGGCGCGGCAGGUGAGGCGGCGGAAGCGCCCGCGCGGGUGGCCGGAGCCCCCGACGCCCUCCAUCUUGGAGCGCGCGGCCGGCCCGGCGCCCCCGCCUUUGUUGGCGCGGCCCGCGGGCAGCGGGCGGCGGUGCAGGACGUCACGUGGCAUUUAGUUGCUGUGUCUCCUGAGUCUCCGCUGGCCCAUGAGUUUCUCUAGCUUUCUGGCUCAUGACCUGGACAGUUUUUAGGAGGACGAGUCAGCCUGCCCAGCUGACUGCGCUUAGAGGGACC
rnacentral:lncRNA from 1 species